ACUCCUACGGGAGGCAGCAGUGGGGAAUAUUGCACAAUGGGGGAAACCCUGAUGCAGCCAUGCCGCGUGUGUGAAGAAGGCCUUCGGGUUGUAAAGCACUUUCAGUAGGGAGGAAGGUAGUGUAGUUAACACCUGCACUAUUUGACGUUACCUACAGAAGAAGCACCGGCUAACUCCGUGCCAGCAGCCGCGGUAAUACGGAGGGUGCGAGCGUUAAUCGGAAUUACUGGGCGUAAAGCGCAUGCAGGCGGCCUGUUAAGUCAGAUGUGAAAGCCCGGGGCUUAACCUCGGAAUUGCAUUUGAAACUGGCAGGCUAGAGUCUUGUAGAGGGGGGUAGAAUUUCUGGUGUAGCGGUGAAAUGCGUAGAGAUCUGAAGGAAUACCAGUGGCGAAGGCGGCCCCCUGGACAAAGACUGACGCUCAGAUGCGAAAGCGUGGGGAGCAAACAGGAUUAGAUACCCUGGUAGGAUAGCG
rnacentral:rRNA from 1 species